CCUACGGGAGGCAGCAGUGGGGAAUUUUGGACAAUGGGCGCAAGCCUGAUCCAGCCAUGCCGCGUGAGUGAAGAAGGCCUUCGGGUUGUAAAGCUCUUUCGGCCGGAACGAAAUCGUCCGGGCUAAUACCCCGGAUGGAUGACGGUACCGGAAGAAGAAGCACCGGCUAACUACGUGCCAGCAGCCGCGGUAAUACGUAGGGUGCAGGCGUUAAUCGGAAUUACUGGGCGUAAAGCGUGCGCAGGCGGCUUCUCAAGUCAGAUGUGAAAUCCCCGGGCUUAACCUGGGAACUGCGUUUGAAACUGGGAGGCUAGAGUGCGGCAGAGGGGGGUGGAAUUCCACGUGUAGCAGUGAAAUGCGUAGAUAUGUGGAGGAACACCGAUGGCGAAGGCAGCCCCCUGGGCCUGCACUGACGCUCAUGCACGAAAGCGUGGGGAGCA
rnacentral:rRNA from 1 species